AGAUUUGGAGGGUAUUUUAGCAAUGUUUUUGGAAUUGAAAUUUAGGGUUUUGGUGUAGCUAGCUCUAAAGAUCCAAUCUUUUUCCAUUGUGGAUAUCAAAUUCAAAGGAUCAGUUCAUCAAUCCAAGCAAUUAACCACAUGGGUUUGUUGUAAAACACAAACCCAGUUGAUGUAACAUGCAGCUGAACAUUUUUUUUCUUGAAAUUUUUAUGGAUUUGGGUUGUUCUUUGAUCUGAUCUUUACCUUUUUUUCUUAACCUAAUCUGUUGGUUCUUAUUUGUAGGUUAAUUGGAUGUAAUUACCAUCAUUUAAACUAUUAAUUAAUGGAGAAACUGAACAAUUCUAUGUGUUGUGAAGAUCUAUUUCUGUUGGGGGUUGAAGAUGAUAUACGUCACGCAUUUAAACGAUCGAUCGCUUCUUCCAAAGCCCGCCCUGUUUGUUUCGCUCGCAACAAUUCAACGAGUGAAAUAUAGCGUUUUCUCUUCUUAUUGAGGUCGUAACUCGAUGUGAUUGCAAAUGGAAAACAUUUAGUUAAAUUUGGUAUUGGAUUUACAAACAAGUUUCAUCAAGAAUUUGUUCUUGAAGAUCAU